rnacentral:rRNA from 1 species
UACGUAGGGGGCAAGCGUUGUCCGGAUUCAUUGGGCGUAAAGAGCUCGUAGGCGGUUCAGUAAGUCGGGUGUGAAAUCUCCGUGCUCAACACGGAGCGGCCACCUGAUACUGCUGUGACUCGAGUCCGGUAGGGGAGUGUGGAAUUCCCGGUGUAGCGGUGAAAUGCGCAGAUAUCGGGAGGAACACCAGUAGCGAAGGCGGGUCGUCUGGGCCAUAACUGACGCUGAGGAGCGAAAGCGUGGGGAGCGAACAGG